GUUGUGGAGGUUAGGACUAGUAACAUGGAUGGUGUGGAGGUUAGGACUAGUAACAUGGAUGUUGUGGAGGUUAGGACUAGUAACAGGGAUGUUGUGGAGGUUAGGACUAGUAACAGAGAUGUUGUAGUGUUAGUGGAGGUUUGGACUAGUAACAGGGAUGUUGUGGAGGUUAGGACUAGUAACAGGGAUGUUGUGGAGGUUAGGACUAGUAACAGGGAUGUUGUGGAGGUUAGGACUAGUAACAGGGAUGUUGUGGAGGUUAGGACUAGUAACAGGGAUGUUGUGGAGGUUAGGACUAGUAACAGGGAUGUUGUGGAGGUUAGGACUAGUAACAGGGAUGUUGUAGUGUUUGUGGAGGUUAGGACUAGUAACAGGGUUAAUGAGCCAUGGUGGUGUUGAUGUUGUCUCUAUGGAAGUGCUGCCCUGGAAGUGCAAGGUAGUCAUCCAGUGUUGUAGACCCAGCCGUGCAUUUCUCUCUCUGUCUGUGUCUCUCUCUCGUUCUUUGUCGCUCUCUCUCGCUCGCUCAAUCACUACUCCUCCUCUCUCUCUCCCCUUCAUCUCUCUCUUCAUCUGUCUCUCGGUCUUUCCCUCCAUCUCUCUCUCUGUGUUAGUGAUUACAUCACUCACUCACUCUCUCUCUCUCUCUCUCUCUCUCUGUCUCUCUCUCUCUCUCUCACCCUCUCUGUCUCUCUCUCUCUUGCAUAACCGCCAGCUUUGUUUGCUCCAGCUGAGGACUAAUCUUUCCCGCGAGACAGACUGAAGGAACAAGGGAGAGGAGGAGAGCAGGACAAGCCAACCUUUAUAACCUGACUGGACGCUCUGCCUCGUUAAUUCAAUCAGUCCACCAAUUAAUGGGCUUUAGAGCAGAGCCCUGUUUACAACCACCGUGACCUGUGUGUUUAUGGAGCGGUGUUUUUAAUCUGUGUGUGUGUGUGUGUGUGUGUGUGUGUGUGUGUGUGUGUGGAGAGCAGGCGCAUGGUACUCCCCAUGGUAGCCCAGUCGUACUGAAGGAUAAACAGUGAUUAUCUGGGCUGCCUGGAGAGAGACACAUGCUUAUGUACCACUCUCAGACAGACCACACAUACAUGUGAGGGACACGGUAGCCAAGACAACGCUCUAGCUGCAGUCAGAGGAGAAUAACACAUAAACAAAGACACGCAGAAUCACGUUCAGUCAAGUGUGACUUGUCCUGCCUUUCAUACACGCGUCCACACAGAUACACACACACACAAUGCCGCUGGCGGCGUCUGUGAGGUGAGUGCGAGGCGAAUGUUACGUAAGAAAGAUCAAAGCUACUUAAUCAGCUUUGAGAGAGAUGGGGGAGGAAUGGACAGAGGAGGGAUAGCGGGAAAAUAAAGAAUGGGGAGAGAGAGGGAUAGCAGAGAACAGAGGGUAGAGAAAGUGGUGACAGGCGGUGACACUGCGCGUGUCCUCGUUCCCUGUUUACGAUGGGAUAAUCUCACACACACACACACACAAACACACAAGCUGUGCUCUGUCCUCCGUGUCCCCCUCACAGCCCACUGUGACAUGCUGUUGCCAAUGCCACGAUAGCGUGUGUGUGUGUGGUGUGUGUGUGUGUGUGUGUGUGUGUGUGGUGUCUGUCUCUUCUUUUCCUAUAUGCCUAUUCCAUAUCUCUUUCUCUCCCCCUCCCUCUCUUUGUAAACCCUUUCUUUGCUUACCCUUUACCUCCUCCCUCUCUUCUCUCUCGCCCACUACGUCUCUCUUACAGGAAUUGUUAGCAGAUGUGGACAGAGCUUUUUCCUUCAUCUAAAAUUAGCCCCAAUAGAAGAAUGGCAGGAAAAGAGGGAGGGAGGGAGGGAGGGAGGGAAAGGGGGAUUGAUGGAGAAGCAGAAAGGAAUAGGGAAGGAAUAGGUUGAUGGUCUCGGUGAAGUAAGGGUGUAUUUUUGGGACCUCACACACCAUGCUGACGCAGUCAAGCCGUCGGGGGCACAAACAAAUUUGGAGGAGAGGAACAGCGUCCCGGCGUCUGAGUAGCAUGUGAUGCUAACCCGUCCUGCUGUUGUUGAAAAGGCCUGGAUUAAGAUUAGGACUAGUUGUAAGUGAAUAAUGAUGAGAAGGAGUAGUCUGACAGCAGGCAGCAGUAGUCUGACAGCAGGCAGCAGUAGUCUGACAGCAGGCAGCAGUAGUCUGACAGCAGGCAGCAGUAGUCUGACAGCAGGCAGCAGUAGUCUGGCAGCAGUAGUCUGACAGCAGGCAGCAGUAGUCUGACAGCAGGCAGCAGUAGUCUGACAGCAGGCAGCAGUAGUCUGACAGCAGGCAGCAGUAGUCUGACAGCAGGCAGCAGUAGUCUGAUAGCAGGCAGCAGUAGUCUGAUAGCAGGCAGCAGUAGUCUGACAGCAGGCAGCAGUAGUCUGACAGCAGGCAGCAGUAGUCUGACAGCAGUAGUCUGACAGCAGGCAGCAGUAGUCUGACAGCAGGCAGCAGUAGUCUGACAGCAGGCAGCAGUAGUCUGGCAGCAGUAGUCUGACAGCAGGCAGCAGUAGUCUGGCAGCAGGCAGCAGUAGUCUGGCAGCAGGCAGCAGUAGUCUGGCAGCAGGCAGCAGUAGUCUGAUAGCAGGCAGCAGUAGUCUGACAGCAGGCAGCAGUAGUCUGACAGCAGGCAGCAGUAGUCUGACAGCAGGCAGCAGUAGUCUGACAGCAGGCAGCAGUAGUCUGACAGCAGGCAGCAGUAGGGGAGAGGGACUAUAGAAAGGUCUUCUUCCACCUCAGCAGUUAGAUAAUUAGGACUCUAUAAAAUCAGUUAUACUUUUUAUCUGAACUGUUUAGUUUUUCCCCAAAUCACAUUUUCUCGGUUUAGUUUUUCCACGUUUCUGUUUUCCCCAAAAAAUGUUCAGGUUUUCACUCUCUAAAGUCAACAACAAUACUUAAACCACAUCAGGAGACCGCUUUUGAGGUCUGUGGAUUUUGGUGUUGUUGAAAUGUAGAUUUCUGGCUGUAGUUACUGUUUAAUUCCAUUGUGUAGUUAGCAAGAGGCUGUUGUGUAGAAGUGUUUUUGUAGCUCACGUGAUGGUAGAGUUUACAAAGCAAACACUCACUGGAUUGACACAAAUAAUCCUGAUAUCAUUCUGACAGGAAAGCAUAGGCUACUUUGUAGUUAACAUUUCAUUGAGAAGGUUUUUGGGAAAGCCUUUCUAUCUACCAGAAGACUUUUCAUUAGCAUCAUCGCUAACAGCUACACAGUGGUAGAUGUACCGCACAUACAGACAGGGGGAGUUAUUGUUGCCUCUUCAGAAAGUUGCAGGAAAAUACACAUCACUGAGGCAUUCUGGAUGCUAGUUGAUACAAUUCAAUCAAUACAUUUUGGAAUAUUGUUGAAUUCUGUUUUAAUGUCUGGAUUCCGUGAUUCCGUCCACGUUCGGCGCAUCUCUGAUGUUAUAGGGCCCGACAUAAUACACUCAGCCUCUCGUUGGCACCAGGGACACGGAUGUUUGUGUGUGUGUGUGUGUCUGUGAGCACGUGUGUGGAAGAGAACAGAGAAGUCCUGUAUAGUGUAACAGGUGAGUGAGAGGCGCCUGCAGUGGAUUCCCCAGGACACUACAGGACAGACCAGACAGACAGGCAGCACCACUCAACACACUGGCUGCAUAGCCUACAUAGUGAGACACAUGGAUCAAACACCACCAUACUGAGGUCGCUAAUGAAUGAAGUAUCACAUCACCUUAAACAAUCACCUGAAGAGUUGCAUCGUUUCAUUACUUUGUAAUGGGGUUAUUUAGUGGGGAGGACAGUGGAGCAGUUGUGGAGGGGAGGACAGUGGAGCAGUUGUGGCGGGGAGGCUGUUCAUAUCAACAGGCGGUCAGGUGUUCUUUUCUUGGCGCCUCCCCAGUGAGUGGGAACGUACCGGCCACUGGAUAGGAGGAGGGAGCGGGAACGUACCGGCCACUGGAUAGGAGGAGGGAGCGGGAACGUACCGGCCACUGGAUAGGAGGAGGGAACGGGAACGUACCGGCCACUGCAUAGGAGGAGGGAGCGGGAACGUACCGGCCACUGGAUAGGAGGAGGGAGCGGGAACGUACCGGCCACUGGAUAGGAGGAGG
rnacentral:lncRNA from 1 species